ensembl:lincRNA
AUCGGUUAGCCAAAUUUCAGAUUAUUGUUUUUAUUUUGUUGAAGAUGAUGUUACUAUGGAUGUUGCUUUCUCAUCUUAAUUUUGAUAUAUAACAAUCACUUCUUUGUUAUUUGUUGUCAGUUUCCUGUUCUGUAGGUUUACAUAAAAAAGAGGAAGCCUGUUGAGAACGUCGUUGUGGGGCUCAGUAGGUUUUUUGGUGUAAAAGAUCUGGCCGUAUAUCUGUAAACCACAAUCUUAUUUGGAAAGCGAGAGAUGUAGCUCAGUUUUGAACAGAUCAUUAAUAAGCGGAGAGCAGCGCUUGUCCCUCUCUUGGAGCGCCGCCUCAGCGGGCGGUGGAGGGAGGGAGAACGUCUAUCCCCCACUCCAGGUUGACUGGGAAGUAAAAGGAAAGGGCAACUUGCCCGUACCUAAAAUGGCUGCCCUUGCUCGGCGCCAUGGCGCUUGCGCAAGGCUGAGCGUUCCCUGACAUUAAUUCCCCUAGUGUCACCGCCCACUAGCUGCACCCACCAGCUCCCGGCCCCGACCUAACUACCUGCGCCCGGAAGUGACGUAUCAGCGGCAGCGGUUCCCCCGUUGCAUGAUGGGAGAGUGUGUGGAGUGGGCGGGGGGCCUCCGCGGAGGAGGAGGUGGAGGCGGCCGCGGCGGCGGCGGCGGCGGAAGAGGGCGGAGGGUACUGGGAUGGGGGUCCCACGGCAGCGCUGAAACUCCGGGUGGGCGUCCACGGCGCUGCUGCACUGACAGGCCCGGGAACAGCCUGCCUUCCGCUCUCACCACCUCCGAAUAGCCGGUCCUUCCUCGGGGAGCCAGUUCCUCCCCGGGCCCCUGAGCCAUGCCCAGCGCGGCCGCCCCGAACGAGCCAGGUAUGAAUUAAUUACUUGAAAGCAACUGAAAAAUGGAGCCAGACAUAAUUCGAAUGUACUCUUCAUCCCCACCACCACUAGAUAAUGGAGCAGAGGAGGAGGAUGAUGAUGAAUUUGGGGAAUUUGGUGGAUUUUCAGAAGUUAGCCCUUCUGGCAUAGGCUUUGUCGAUUUUGAUACACCAGAUUAUACUCGUCCCAAGGAAGAGUUUGUACCUUCAAAUCAUUUUAUGCCAAUUCAUGAUUUCUCAGAAAAUGUAGAUAGCCUUACAAGCUUUAAGUCUGUGAAAAAUGGUAAUGAUAAGGACAUCACUGCUGAACUUUCUGCUUCUGUGAAAGGAGAGUCUAAUGUUUUACUUUCUGCCACCAGCAAAGAAAUAAUUUCAUCAAAAACUUUAGAUACUUCCAUUGAUGACAUGGAAAGUUCAGGAGAUUUAAAUAAACCAGUGGAACAGAAACGGAAUGCUGAAACACCUGGAAGUUUUUCUCUAGGAGAUUUUAGAACUGAUUUAAACAUAGUUCAUCAAAGCAAGCAGUUAGAGAGCUGCAAUGGGGAAAAACUUCCUUGUCCGGAGGUUCUAACAAAUGGGUUUGCAGGGUUGGAAACUGUAAAUCCUCAGGGAACAAAUGAUCUGGACAAUGUAGCUGAUUCAGAGGGACAGAAGCCUGUUAGCACACAUAGCACUGAGUAUAAUUUAGACUCUGUGCCUAGUCCUGCUGAAGAAUUUGCAGAUUUUGCCACAUUUUCCAAAAAGGAAAGGAUACAACUAGAAGAAAUAGAAUGUGCAGUUUUAAAUAAUAGCAAUAUACUAACUGUUCAGGAAAACAACAAAAUUAACAGAGUCAAUGAAGUGAAUUCUAUAAAAGAAGUGUUUUUGGGUAGAAGCUUUGAUGAUAAAGGAGAUACUGAUGGAGAGGAUCAGAUCUGUGUUUCAGAAAUAAGUAUAGUGUCUAACAGAGGUUUCAGUGUUGAAAAACAAGGCCUCCCAACACUGGUAUCAAAGUCAUGGAGUUUGGUAGACUCAUCUGGUAAUUCAGAAGCCAUUAACAGAGAACAGUGUAAAACUGAAGAAGAACUUGAUUUAUUUUCUGCUAAAUGUGCUGAGCUAUGCAUGGUUUCUAUUAAAACUUCUGAUGCUGUCGAAAUUGGUUCUUCCAAAGAAGAAAAAAAGUUUACUAACUUCCAAAGCCUAAGCACUGAUCCCACAGAAGAAAAUAUUUUGGAUGAUUCUGUAAGUGUAAAAAAUGGUGAUAGUAGUAAUGACUUUGUAACUUGCAAUGAUACCAAUGAGGAUGAUUUUGGUGACUUUGGCACAGCCAGUGGUACCACUCCACCCCUCAUUACUGGUACUCAAGAUUCAAUGAGCGAUGUCACUUUUGAAGAGUCUUUAGAGCACUUUCCACACUUCAGUGAACCAGGUGAUGACUUUGGAGAAUUUGGGGAUACAAGUGCUAUUUCUUGCCAAGAGGAAAUGAUAUUUACUGACUCAGACCUAAAACAGACUUCUGAUACUUUAUCAGAGGAAUGUCAGAUGACAAGGUCAAGUGGAACAGGCACUGAACCUGUUUCAAAGCUGAAAAAUGGGCAAGAAAGUGAGUUUGGAGACUUUGAUUCUGUGCCAAAUGUUCAAGAUGACUGCAAUGCUUUUCAAGACUCUGAUGAUUUUGCAGACUUCAGUUCAGCUGGUCCUAGCCAAGUUGUAGAUUGGAAUGCUUUUGAGGAUGAGCAAAAAGAUGGUUGUUCUUGGGCUGCUUUUGAAGACCAACAGGCUACUGAAGCUCACCAUCGAAAGGAAGUCUGGCAGUCACAUAGGACAGAUGAAAAUAUUGAGACUCCAGGAACCCCCAAGAUGCACAGUGUCCCCUUAGCAGCUUCCAAAGGAACAGUUGCUAGUGAUAAUUUACAGGAAUCAGCCACUUCAGUUCAGACAGCUUUACUAAACCGCCUGGAACGAAUUUUCGAAGGAUGUUUCCCUUCCAUACUUGUCCCUGAUGCUGAAGAGGAAGUUACUUCCCUGAAACACUUGCUAGAGACAAGCACCUUGCCAAAAAAAACAAGCGAGGCCUUAGCUGAAAGUGGGUAAGUAGUACAUAGUGUGUGGUCUGGUAAUUUUAGCUGUUUUAAGGCUAGUUUACAACUUUAUGAUCAG